rnacentral:rRNA from 1 species
UACGUAGGGGGCAAGCGUUGUCCGGAUUUAUUGGGCGUAAAGCGCUCGCAGGUGGUUCGAUGCGUCGUGCGUGAAAGACCCCGGCUCAACUGGGGAGGGUCGUGCGAUACGGUCGAACUGGAGGCCAGUAGGGGGAUGCGGAAUUCCGGGUGUAGUGGUGGAAUGCGUAGAGAUCCGGAGGAACACCAGCGGCGAAGGCGGCAUCCUUGACUGGUCCUGACACUCAUGAGCGAAAGCGUGGGGAGCGAUCCGG